AAGGGUUUAGCUUAGUUAAAGUGGUUGAUUUGCAUUCAAUCGAUGCAGGAUAGUCUUGCAAUCCCUA
rnacentral:tRNA from 1 species